rnacentral:rRNA from 1 species
GACGAACCGUGCGAACGUUGUUCGGAAUCACUGGGCUUAAAGGGUGCGUAGGUGGGCAGGUAAGUCAGUGGUGAAAUCUCCGGGCUUAACCCGGAAACUGCCGUUGAUACUAUCUGUCUUGAAUGCUGAGUGGAGGUGAGCGAAUAUGUCAUGUAGCGGUGAAAUGCUUAGAUAUGACAUAGAACACCAAUUGCGAAGGCAGCUCACUACACGAAUAUUGACACUGAGGCACGAAAGCGUGGGGAUCAAACAGG